CACUUGGCACACCUCCUUGUAAGCCAAUGGCAGGCAUUAUUUCUGUUUAACAGUUCCUGAUUGUGGAAGUGGAGUGUAUACAAGGCUGUGGAGCAACAAGCACACAUUCCAAAUCCAAAUCCAGUUUGGAACCACUGCCCUGGAGGGUACGGCGUAGCCCUGUGACACGCUGAAUGCGUUUAGGUUACAAACAUAAUGAUGACAGUAACUACGGAUGUUAUCAGAAAACCUACCGAUGAUUUCUGCAAGCUGGAUCCGCAGCAUUGUGCUUCAUGUGCCGAAAUUUCAGAUGACAGGUGGUACAGUGUCCCUGCGCAGCACUUCUUCUGUUUGUUCUUAAUGUUGUAGGCUUGAACCCCACAGCAGCGCUUGUUUUCUUCUUUGGAAUGUCUGUGUGGAUACAGGUUUAGCAGUGAGUGUCACAUCAGGGGAGUGAGAUGAAGAAAUUAUUAUAAUUGUAUUGUGAUCAUUUAAAGAUAGAUGGUCUAAAAAGGGGGCUAUGGAUGUGAGAUUGACAUCACUUCUGCAACACAGUGUCUAAAAUGAUAUGUUCAGCCACUGUACUGUUGUAUCACAGUAGUGAUCAUUACUAAAAGGGGGGGGAAGACUUGAAGCAUAAAAAUCUGAGUAAAAUGCAUGUUAUGCUGUUAGUGUUAGAAGGUGUACUGAUUAAAAUAAAAUAUCUAUUUAAAUAGAAAAUCAUGUAUCAGACAGAAAUGACUAAAAACACUGCUGAAAAGCACCAGUGAACCAAACUGACUCAGAACAGCGUGGAAAUAUUAUCAAUCAAAACACAUGUAGAUUAGCAAGUUAGUUUUUUCUCUCCAGGCAGAUUUUGAAAAAGAAAAAAAAAAAAAAA